rnacentral:tRNA from 1 species
GGCUGUGUAGCUUAGCUGGUUAGAGCGUCCGGUUCAUACCCGGAAGGUCGUGGGUUCGUGUCCUACCACAGCCACCA